ACACACACACACACACACACACACACACACACACACACACACACACACACAAAUGCCUGCUAGCCGCUUCUCAAGGCGGCUCAGCGCCCUCUGGCGGCCUCAGGUCGCCUUGAACCCGGCACGACCGCUAGUCAUGCGCCCAGAGUCAGCAGAGCCAGUGCAGCCCGAUGGCUGGGAAGUGUCCACUCAGUUCUGGAAAAGAACUGGGAAAGGAGCCUUCUCAAAGGGAAGCCCUGGUUCCAUUUUCUGUUUUAGUUUGCUUGUUUGUUUUAGUUUUUUCAGACAGGGUUUCUCUGUUUUGCCCUGGAUGUCUGGGAAGACCAGGCUGGCCUCGAACUCAGAGAUCCAUCUGCUUCUGCCUCCAAAGUGCUGGGAUUAAUGGUGUGUGCCACCAUGCCAGGCUCCUUGUUCCAUUUUCAACGGAUGCCCGAAAUCUUACUGACACAGCACCACCCCUUUAUCUGCAGUUUGAUUUCUUUUUAUUCAGCCCCAGCCCUUCAGAGUUGAUGGUGAAGAACCCCAGACUCUGCUGAAGGCUUCCUAUGAAGUUCAGACCACAGAAAAUGAUGGCAUCAAGCACAGAUGAAAAGGAACAGUGUGUAACUGUGUGUGCUCAGGCACCAUUAAUAUGUGUUGAGCAUUUCACAGAGCAAGUUCACAGACACGCAUGUGUCCUGCAGAGUGAGAGCAGAGACAAAAGAUCCUGAAGUCCUGUGAGAGAUCUGUGGGCAGUGGUCACUCAGACCUGGGCCAAGGAUGGGGUUCUUCUGUGAUGAUGGGAGAAAGUGUCCUGGACAAACAGGGGAGAGCAUGGAUGUGGAGCUGUGUGCUGUGUGCAAGGCUGAGCAGGGAGAGCACGGAUGUGGAGCUGUGUGUGAAGGCCGAGUCCUUCGUCUCUUCUGUUUUUACCUGUUUCAUCUGUAAUCGGGCUCUUCCUAGAGGACCAGCUCCCUCCUGCCUCCUGGUGGUGGCUAACCUCUUCACAGUCUUUCCCGUCAAGUGGUUGGAUGCUGAUCCUACCCAGCACAAUGGCCUCUUCUUGAUGAAGCUGCCUAAGUGGUCAGACUUCCCGGAAGAAGGAGACAUGUGGGCUCAUGAUCUCGGAGGUUUCAGUCCAGGGAAACCCAGGCGUGGUGGAGAGUCAACAGCAACUGAAGAAAGAAGGCAUUUGCUUACAUUAUGGACUCAAGAGGGAAAAGGAUCUCUGAGCGGAGAGGUCUCUGAGUUUGGAGGUUAGUGAAGGUACUGGGUAGGACACCUACACAGGAAUUUAGGGAGCUCUCUUGUCCCAUCCUACCUGGGAGCUGCCACAUGCUAGGCGUUUAUCGUUUGGGGAAGGGACUACAGAUAGGAUGUAAGGUGUGCCUGAUGCCCUCUAGUGGGGAAGCCUCUGUGAUCUAAUAGGGGUGAGAUGAAUCUUCCCAGGGCAUGCUCGCAGUCACCUAUGUCUUCUAGGUGACUGAGAGCAUGCCCUUUCCAAGAUACCCCAUAAUAUGCCAUCAUAACAUGAAUCCAACAGGAGAUUAGAUUAGAUCAGAGCCCCCAGAGUCCAUUAUCAGCUGGCUACUGGGCUCCCAAUACCUGAACCUGCUUGGAAUUUUCUGUGUCAGAGUCAUGGCACUGCCACAUGUUAGGUCUCAAACCUGGGACAAAGGGCUAAUGGAGGGGUCGAUUUAACAUAUCAAAAUGUACCUGGCUGCCAGGUUCUACUAGUGUCCCCUAGUCUCUACCUGUUAGAGGGUAUGGCUGGCAUAACUCCCCAGCCAAGGGACUGGGCUGCCUUCCCAUGAGGCUCUUCCCUAUAUAAUCCAGCCGUUUUGGUUACCUGGUCCACCCUUUACUCUCCUGGCUCUCCCCUCUCUUCAUGUGGCCCAGUUCAGGGUCACUGUAAUAAUUUGAAUGCAGUUGGUUCCCAAACGCUCAUAGGGAGUGGCGCUAUUAGGAAGUGUGAUCUUGUUGAAAUAUGCAUGGCUUAGUUGGUGGAAGUGUGUCACUUCCGGGGCAGACUUUGAGGUCUCCUAUGUUCAACUUAAGUCUAAUUCAGUCCACUUCCUGUUGCCUACAGAUCAAGAUGUAGGACUUUCAACUCCUUCUGCAGCACCAUGUCUGCCUGCAUGCCACCGUGUUCUGCCAUGAUGAUAACGGACUAAGCCUCUGAACUGUAAGUGAGCCAUCCCAAUUAAACAUUUUCUUUAUAAGAGUUGCUAUGGUCACGGGGGAGGGCCUAGGCCCUGCUCCAAAUGAUAUGACAGACUUUGAAGACCCCCCCAUGGAAAGUCU
ensembl:lincRNA